GACGAACCGUGCGAACGUUGUUCGGAAUCACUGGGCUUAAAGGGCGCGUAGGCGGACUGGCCAGUCCGGGGUGAAAUCGUCCGGCUUAACCGGACAAGGGCCUUGGAUACUGCCAGUCUGGAGCGAGGUAGGGGCCCGCGGAACUUCCGGUGGAGCGGUGAAAUGCGUUGAUAUCGGAAGGAACGCCGGUGGCGAAAGCGGCGGGCUGGACCUCGGCUGACGCUGAGGCGCGAAAGCCAGGGGAGCGAACGGG
rnacentral:rRNA from 1 species